rnacentral:lncRNA from 1 species
AUGCCCUUUAUUUCUCUCUCUUGUCUGAUUGCUCUUGCUAGGACUUCCAGUACUAUGGUGAAUAACAGUGGUGAAAGUGGGCAUCCUGGUCAUGUUCCAGAUCUUGGAGAAGGGGAUUUCAGCGUUUCCCCAGUCAGUAUGACACUAGCUGUGGACACCCAGAAGGGAAGUGCUGGAUCAUGUGAGCCUCCACCCCACUGUCUGAAGUCGUCCUUGAGCCUCCACUCUGCUGUCCCCAGAGCUGUCACUGAUGUUCCACCCUACUAUCUGGGAGCUGGUCUGAGUCUGCACCCUGCUGUUCUUGGAGCCCAGAAAGCCCACCAGGGCCGGUCAAACUCCACCCCUCCCUUGAUAUCUCCUUCCAGGCAUCAGCACUUUGGAAAAGCCAUCAUGUACCUUUUAAUAUCUAGGAAAGGUGCCUCAGGAAGGCAUGGAAGGCAUGGAGAGAUCACCACCACCAGGUCAUGGUGUCUCACCUGUGUCCACUGGCCCCAUGCUGGCCCUUUAAGGGGUAAGAGCGGAACAGGCUGGGAGACUACACCUCUUUUAUCAAAGUGGCCAUAGAUAAAGCCAGAAAGGAGACAGGAGAAUGUGGUGCUGUGGGCAGGAUGCUGAGGGCAGAGGCCCCUCCCCACAGGUGCUAAGCAGAUCAGGCAAGGAGGAGCUUCCAGCCUCCAUCCAGGCAGGACUUCUAACCACUGCUAGAGGCCCCUUCUUGGGAGGUCCUGUCCCAGCCAAGGGCCAGCUCCAGAGACUUUUGUCCAUUUUCCACAAGACGGACAUGAUGCAGGUGGCUGUAUCUGGGCCCCAGAACUUUCAGGACUGAGCCCUGGUGAAGACAGGAGGGAGUUGUGGGCCCUGGAUGUCCCUGUGCAGCCGAUGCCUCUGGCUGGGACCAUUCACCACCCAGAUGCCUCCUCACUUGGUCUCCAAGCCUCACUGGUCAUGUGAAAGGCCACGGGGCAGGGCUGGGAUGGGUUCAGGGCUCCAUGUGCUUCCUGAGAGGGAAGAAGGGUUGCAUCCCCCAUAGCAGCCCAAGGCAUAGUAGCCACUACUACCCCACUCAGUCUCAGUGAGCAGGGGGGCCUGGUCCUCCAGUGGCAGGUAGACAGGCAGCGGUGCCUCUCACUCCUCACACUCCGCUGGCAGCAUAUCCUCCAAACUUGGGGCUCCUAGGAGGUGUUUCCAUGCCCUCCUGCUCUCCUCCAGGUCACAGAUUUCCAGGGACAUGCUGAGCCACAGGUGAGCACCGCAGUGGCCCCUCGCACACUGAAUUCCAAGGCUCCUUGUGAGGUGCUGGCACAGUCCUGGCUCGGCUGCACACUGGCCACGUGGGCCUCCAUCCAGGCCUGGAGCAGAGUAUGGGAUGAGGGAAGGGCUCAGGCAGCAUGAUCAGAACUCACCCUGGGAGUGGUAACCUCCUCCUCAGCAGGCCCUCCCUCCUCCUCCAAGAAGCCCUCCUGAUGUCCACAUCAAGCAGCACCUGUGCCAGAAACAUUCUGUCUUCC